CAGCCGCCGCGGUAAUACGUAGGUCCCGAGCGUUGUCCGGAUUUAUUGGGCGUAAAGCGAGCGCAGGCGGUUAGAUAAGUCUGAAGUUAAAGGCUGUGGCUUAACCAUAGUAUGCUUUGGAAACUGUUUAACUUGAGUGCAGAAGGGGAGAGUGGAAUUCCAUGUGUAGCGGUGAAAUGCGUAGAUAUAUGGAGGAACACCGGUGGCGAAAGCGGCUCUCUGGUCUGUAACUGACGCUGAGGCUCGAAAGCGUGGGGAGCAAACAGGAUUAGAUACCCCUGUAGUCCCUGUCUCUUAUACA
rnacentral:rRNA from 1 species